UACGUAGGGGGCAAGCGUUGUCCGGAAUCAUUGGGCGUAAAGCGCGUGUAGGCGGCCAGAAAAGUCCGAUGUGAAAACUCGAGGCUCAACCUCGAGACGGCGGCGGAAACCAUCUGGCUAGAGUCCGGAAGAGGAGAGUGGAAUUCCUGGUGUAGCGGUGAAAUGCGCAGAUAUCAGGAAGAACACCCGUGGCGAAGGCGGCUCUCUGGGACGGUACUGACGCUGAGACGCGAAAGCGUGGGGAGCGAACAGG
rnacentral:rRNA from 1 species